rnacentral:rRNA from 1 species
GGUGGAGCGAUUUGUCUGGUUAAUUCCGAUAACGAACGAGACUCUGGCCUAUUAAAUAGACGAUAUAUUUCAAAGUAUAUCGCGCUUCUUAGAGGGACAAGCGGCGUCUAGCCGCAUGAAAUAGAGCAAUAACAGGUCUGUGAUGCCCUUAGAUGUUCGGGGCUGCACGCGCGCUACACUGAAGGCAUCAUCAUGUUUAUCAACCUACCCCGGAAGGGGCGGGUAACCCGAUGAAACGCCUUCGUGAUUGGGAUAGGGAAUUGCAAUUAUUUCCCUUGAACGAGGAAUUCCCAGUAAGUGCGGGUCAUCAGCUCGCGCUGAAUACGUCCCUGCCCUUUGUAC